rnacentral:rRNA from 1 species
AUUGAACGCUGGCGGCAUGCCUUACACAUGCAAGUCGAACGGCAGCGCGGGGCAACCUGGCGGCGAGUGGCGAACGGGUGAGUAAUAUAUCGGAACAUACCCUAGAGUGGGGAUAACGUAGCGAAAGUUACGCUAAUACCGCAUACGCACUAAGGUGGAAAGUGGGGGAUUCGCAAGAACCUCAUGCUCAUGGAGUGGCCGAUAUCUGAUUAGCUAGUUGGUGAGGUAAAGGCUCACCAAGGCAACGAUCAGUAGCUGGUUUGAGAGAACGACCAGCCACACUGGAACUGAGACACGGUCCAGACUCCUACGGGAGGCAGCAGUGGGGAAUUUUGGACAAUGGGGGGCAACCCCUGAUCCAGCAAUGCCGCGUGAGUGAAGAAGGCC